UUUUAGGAUUAAAACAAAGUCAUCUGUUAGAUAAUUUCUUCUGAAAUGUCUUGCCCAAACUCAAAGAGCAGCCAAGUCCAACCCAACCUUAUAAUGCUAAUCAUCAUCAUUAACACCUUCAUUUUUCUUUCAGUUCAGAGCAUCUUAUUCUUUAGAGCAAACAUCAGUGGAUCUGAGUCUAUGCACAGGAGUAUCAUAAAUGCUAAGAGAAAUGCUACUCUGCAUUAACGAAUGCAUUGCAUUAAAGACAGCAAGUAGUCUCUUGGCAAUAGAAAUGUUACUGGAUAUCAUUAUAUUUAGAUUUAGCUUUUGUGACCUUUAGAGGCUAGCUAAUGUGGAGGAUGAAAGAAAGACAUAUCUCAUUGUGCAGACAAUGCACAGUGUAAGACAGGUUGCAAAAAGCUAUUGCUUUCAUCACAUAAAUCUCUUUGCCUCAGAGAGGUUGGAAAAAUCUUAGUGAUUCAUGGGCACAAACUUUAAUUUACUAUUUUUCCUGGGUGCCACUGAGGGAUGGUAGGAAGGAGAAAGCUUAUUACAAGGGGCACUGUUCCUCUGUUGGAAAAAAUAUGUGAAGAGAGGAUUCAAGGUUUGCUAUAUCACCAUGUAUUUGCUUGUUAUCAAGAAGACUGAAUAAAAUCUUUGUACAUAAUUGCUUGAGAAAAAGUCUUGUAGCAUCAUUCAUUUGCUUUUGUACUGCACAGACUCACUGACAUUGUAGGCUGGUGUUUUGAAUGGUUACGUUCUCUGUUAUGUCAGGAUAAACUGAAGAAAAUCAUUUUCAUGGGUAUAUCAUUUUAUGAGAACCCAUUUUUCUGAAAUGUCUCUUGAAGUAAAUGAAAUGAGUUUGAGAAUCUAGUGAGUGACAAAAUAAGCAGAGACAUAUCAUGUAUCCUCCUUUUUAUUUUGGAGUUUGUCAUGAUUCUGGGUGCAGGGGGGAGUUUCAAAAUGUGAAAACUAGGUAGAAAAGAACCACCUCCUUGGGCCAUAAUCUCGCCCUUGUUUGCAGUGUGCUGGAAAAGACCUGAGGCAUCCAGACUGUAGUUUUGUUUCUGAUGGUGCCCUAUGGUCCCAUUUCCCAGUGCUAUGGUACAGCCGCCUUAUUAUUAUUCUGCCCAGUUAUCUUUAGGGUGCAGCAUAAGUAAUCUCUGGCAAAGACCAGACCCAAAGCACAAACACUGUAACAUCUCACUCAACACUUGAGACGGCAGUGUCAGACAUUCAAAGCCAUGGGGAGUUCCUUGGAAAGUGAUUUCUCAGUGUUCACAGCACUGCUGCAAGUCCCUCCACCUGCCAUUAAUAAGGUGUCCCUGGCACUGCCUCACAGAUCACAAGGCCCUUCCUAAAGAGAGGAUCUUGGAAUUCCCAUCGUGGCUCAGUGGAAACAAAUCUGACUAACAUCCAUAAGGAUGCAGGUUCUUUCCUUGGCCCUGCUCAGCAUUGCCAUGUGCUCUGUGUAGGUCGCAGAUGCAGCUUGGAUCUGCCCUUGCUGUGGUUGUGGCCAAGGCUGGGGUCGAAUCGGAGCUGUAGCCACUGGCCUACGCCAGAGCCACAUCAACGCAGGAUCCGAGCCACAUCUGCAACCUACACCACAGCUCACGGCAACGCAGGAUCGUUAACCCACUGAGCAGGGGCAGGGACCGAACCCGCAACCUCAUGGUUCUUAGUCGGAUUCGUUAACCACUGCGCCACGACAGGAACUCCUGCUCUGGUUUUUAAAAAAAAAGCCACUGAGCUUGCUGUAACAGAUACAUGCAUGCCGUUAAUACUGGUAAUAUGAAUAUUGUAUAGAUUUGCUUGUCCCUACACUGAGUGGUUCCAGAUGGCUGUGAUGUAUAAGAAUGAGGUCAAUAGUGAGAACAGACACAAAAAAACUUUGAAAUAAAACCCAACUCCUAUUUAUUUGGGUAGUAUAUAUGGAUCUAUGUAUGUAUAUAUACAUACACAUGGUGGAUAUAAAAAUAUAUAUGUGUAUAUCACACACAUUUCCUUCACUUUUUUCUGUUGUUGUUGUUUAAGUGUUCAUGGUCUCCUUUCACCCUAUUUGCUCAUCAAGCCUUUCUCUCUAUUGUAGUCUGUUGUCCUCUAGAGGAAAGGGAAGAAAAGAGUAUGCUGACUGCUAUGGGUCCUGAGAAACUCAAACCAGAAAUGGGGCUUCCUCUUACCUGUAGUGUUAGACCCUGUAUAAGGACAGGGAGUACCAGAAGUGUGUGUGUAUGUGUGUGAAAAAACAGAGAAAGAAAUUUAAUAUUUAAUGGUCAACUACUAAGACUGUUAGAGGCACCAGAGCAACAAGAGAUGGGUAUCAGGAUGGACAGAACCAGUAAAGAUACAAGAACCAGGAGAUUAAAAACAGUGAGCUAAAGACAGUCUGGCUAAAUGUGUGACUCUUCAUGACUUUGACUGAUCAUUUAUGUACAAAGAAUAAGUUUGUGUUAAUGGACGUGAACAAUUUAAAGAACCUAGGGGGACAGAGCAGGGUGCAUUUGCCAAUCUGCCUUUUUCUCGAAGAAGAACUCCAGAUUCUCUUUCCCUACAAUUUUCUAUUUAUAGUCUGCUAUAGAUUAGAGAUCUGGAUGAUGAAAUUGUUAUACUGCUGUUCACAUUAAAGAUAAGACAGUUGUGAAUGAAAUUAUGUUUCCAGAAGUGUCUGGGAUUUAGCCCACGAAUGGUUU
rnacentral:lncRNA from 1 species